CCAGCACUGGUGUUAUUGGGA
rnacentral:miRNA from 1 species